AUGGGUCGCGUCCGCACCAAGACCGUGAAGAAGACCUCCCGCCAGGUCAUCGAGAAGUACUACUCUCGGAUGACCCUCGACUUCCACACCAACAAGAAGGUGCUCGAGGAGGUCUCCAUCCUCCAGUCGAAGCGCCUCCGCAACAAGGUGGCCGGCUUCACCACCCAUCUGAUGCGCCGCAUCCAGCGCGGCCCCGUGCGCGGCAUCUCCCUCAAGCUGCAGGAGGAGGAGCGUGAGCGCCGCAUGGACUUCGUGCCGGAGAAGUCGGCGCUCGAGGUCGACGAGAUCCGCGUCGACAAGGAGACCAUGGACAUGCUGGCGUUCCUCGGCAUGGCCGACCUCCCCGGCGUUGAGCGCGCCCCCGAGGCCACCUCUGCCGCUGCGCCCUACCGCCAGCCCUUCAACGGACCCCGCGGUGGCAAUCGCGCCUAG
rnacentral:rRNA from 1 species